rnacentral:rRNA from 1 species
UACAGAGGUCUCAAGCGUUGUUCGGAUUCAUUGGGCGUAAAGGGUGCGUAGGCGGGCGUUAAAGUCAAGGGUGAAAUCCCCCAGCUCAACUGGGGAACUGCCUUUGAUACUGAACGUCUCGAGUAAGGUAGGGGCAUGCGGAACUGAUGGUGGAGCGGUGAAAUGUGUUGAUAUCAUCAGGAACUCCGGUGGCGAAAGCGGCAUGCUGGACCUUUACUGACGCUGAGUGCACGAAAGCCAGGGGAGCAAACGGG